UUAAUUAUUAUUUUUUUAAGAAAAGAGGAGCAAUACAUCACUCACUCUAAGAAGAUCCACCCCUUUUUCUUUUUUCACCCAGAAAAGUGUUCUUCUACAUUUGAUUUCUCAAAUACCCAAAAGCCUAUUUUGAGUCCAAACUUAUCAUUCUUGAAUAAAAAUGCAAUUUUUAUGUGUUUUGUGUUUAUGGGUAUCAAAGUCUUGAAUAAAAAUGCAAUCUUUAUGUGUUUUGUGUUAAAGGGUAUCAAAGUUUUCUUCUUUUCUUUGGGAUUGAUCUGUAAAGAUUGAAUUUUCAGUUUUUUUGAUUGAUGAAGAAAAUGGUGUGACUGAUUUUUGAGAGUUCUUGGCAUAUUUUUUUGUUUUUUUGGAUUUCUUUGAAGUGUUUAGUUUAGGAUUUUUAGUAAUGGAGUCAAGAAUGGAACAUUAUGAGGUAAUGGAACAGAUUGGGCGUGGAGCAUUUGGUGCUGCUAUUUUAGUUAAUCACAAGCAAGAAAAAAAGAAGUAUGUGCUCAAGAAGAUUCGAUUAGCUCGACAAACUGAACGUUGCAGGAGAUCUGCUCAUCAAGAGAUGGCACUGAUCGCUCGUCUUCAACAUCCAUAAAUUGUUGAGUUCAAGGAAGCAUGGGUAGAGAAGGUGAGAACCCUGAUUUUGUUUUCAAGUGCUGAGUUGAC